GCUGAAAACACCGGUUUUCGUCCGUUCACCGAAGUUAUGCCUCAUCCAGCGCAGUCAGUGCUUGGAAGGGUGACCACUUGGGAACAUCACGAUUCG